GAAUUCGAUUAGAGUUUGAUCAUGGCUCAGGACGAACGCUGGCGGCGUGCCUAAUACAUGCAAGUCGAACGCUUCUUUCCUCCCGAGUGCUUGCACUCAAUUGGAAAGAGGAGUGGCGGACGGGUGAGUAACACGUGGGUAACCUACCCAUCAGAGGGGGAUAACACUUGGAAACAGGUGCUAAUACCGCAUAACAGUUUAUGCCGCAUGGCAUAAGAGUGAAAGGCGCUUUCGGGUGUCGCUGAUGGAUGGACCCGCGGUGCAUUAGCUAGUUGGUGAGGUAACGGCUCACCAAGGCCACGAUGCAUAGCCGACCUGAGAGGGUGAUCGGCCACACUGGGACUGAGACACGGCCCAGACUCCUACGGGAGGCAGCAGUAGGGAAUCUUCGGCAAUGGACGAAAGUCUGACCGAGCAACGCCGCGUGAGUGAAGAAGGUUUUCGGAUCGUAAAACUCUGUUGUUAGAGAAGAACAAGGACGUUAGUAACUGAACGUCCCCUGACGGUAUCUAACCAGAAAGCCACGGCUAACUACGUGCCAGCAGCCGCGGUAAUACGUAGGUGGCAAGCGUUGUCCGGAUUUAUUGGGCGUAAAGCGGGCGCAGGCGGUUUCUUAAGUCUGAUGUGAAAGCCCCCGGCUCAACCGGGGAGGGUCAUUGGAAACUGGGAGACUUGAGUGCAGAAGAGGAGAGUGGAAUUCCAUGUGUAGCGGUGAAAUGCGUAGAUAUAUGGAGGAACACCAGUGGCGAAGGCGGCUCUCUGGUCUGUAACUGACGCUGAGGCUCGAAAGCGUGGGGAGCAAACAGGAUUAGAUACCCUGGUAGUCCACGCCGUAAACGAUGAGUGCUAAGUGUUGGAGGGUUUCCGCCCUUCAGUGCUGCAGCAAACGCAUUAAGCACUCCGCCUGGGGAGUACGACCGCAAGGUUGAAACUCAAAGGAAUUGACGGGGGCCCGCACAAGCGGUGGAGCAUGUGGUUUAAUUCGGAGCAACGCGAAGAACCUUACCAGGUCUUGACAUCCUUUGACCACUCUAGAGAUAGAGCUUUCCCUUCGGGGACAAAGUGACAGGUGGUGCAUGGUUGUCGUCAGCUCGUGUCGUGAGAUGUUGGGUUAAGUCCCGCAACGAGCGCAACCCUUAUUGUUAGUUGCCAUCAUUUAGUUGGGCACUCUAGCGAGACUGCCGGUGACAAACCGGAGGAAGGUGGGGAUGACGUCAAAUCAUCAUGCCCCUUAUGACCUGGGCUACACACGUGCUACAAUGGGAAGUACAACGAGUCGCUAGACCGCGAGGUCAUGCAAAUCUCUUAAAGCUUCUCUCAGUUCGGAUUGCAGGCUGCAACUCGCCUGCAUGAAGCCGGAAUCGCUAGUAAUCGCGGAUCAGCACGCCGCGGUGAAUACGUUCCCGG
rnacentral:rRNA from 1 species